UUUAAGUAAAUAGAAAUCUAUGAAAUUUAAACACAAGGUUUAUGACCACUAAAGGAAGGUUGGGUUUGAUUUUGGGAGUUUUGGUCCCAACAGUUUAGGAAUAAGGGGCCCAAAGGGCCCAAAAUUGAACUUAGUUUGAUUUCAUCAAAAAUUGAAUAAUUGGGGUUCUUUGAUAUGCCGAAUCUAACUUUGAUGUAGAUUCUUAAUUUUUGGUCCCGUUUUCAAAUUGGUCUACAUUAAGGUCCAAAGGGUCCAAAAUUAAACUUAGUUUGAUUUUGACAAAAUUGAAUCCUUGGCGUUCUUUGAUAUGCUGAAUCUAAAAAUGUACUUAGAUUUUUGAUUAUUGGCCCAGUUUUCAAGUUGGUCCAAAUCGGG
rnacentral:lncRNA from 1 species